AAUAUUGCACAAUGGGCGCAAGCCUGAUGCAGCCAUGCCGCGUGUAUGAAGAAGGCCUUCGGGUUGUAAAGUACUUUCAGCAGUGAGGAAGGUGGAUAUGUUAAUAGCAUAUUCAUUUGACGUUAGCUGCAGAAGAAGCACCGGCUAACUCCGUGCCAGCAGCCGCGGUAAUACGGAGGGUGCGAGCGUUAAUCGGAAUUACUGGGCGUAAAGCGCAUGCAGGUGGUUUGUUAAGUCAGAUGUGAAAGCCCGGGGCUCAACCUCGGAAUUGCAUUUGAAACUGGCAAACUAGAGUACUGUAGAGGGGGUAGAAUUUCAGGUGUAGCGGUGAAAUGCGUAGAGAUCUGAAGGAAUACCGGUGGCGAAGGCGGCCCCCUGGACAGAUACUGACACUCAGAUGCGAAAGCGUGGGGAGCAAACAGGAUUAGAUACCCUGGCCG
rnacentral:rRNA from 1 species